UAAAAAUUUUUGUAGUUUGUGAAGUUUAUUUAAAGUUUAUUUUACAUAUAAAUUUUAGUGUUAAUUUUAGUUUAUUUUAAUAAUAAAUUAAUAAUUUAAUUUAGUAAUUAAUAUUAAAAUAUUUAAGAAAUUAAUAUUUAGUAAUAUUUAAAUUAAUAACUAAUUUUGUGCCAGCAGUUGCGGUUAAACAAAAAUUAAAUUAAAUUUUAUUAGUAAAAUUAAUUAAUAUUUAAUAAAAAUAAAUAAUUUAAAUUUUAAAUUAUUAAGUGAAAUUUUUAAUUUAAUAAAAUAUUAUUUUAUAAUAUAUGAUUUAAUAAAUUUUUAUAAAAACUAGGAUUAGAUACCCUAUUAUUAAAAUUUUAAAUUAUAAUACUAAAAUAGUAAUUAAUUAUUUAUUGAAACUUAAACAAUUUGGCGGUAUUUUAGUUCAUUUAGAGGAAUCUGUUUAAUAAUUGAUAAUCCACGAAUAAAUUUACUUAAUUUUUAAUUUUGUAUAUCGUUGUUAAAAAAAUAUUUUUUAAUAAAAAUAAUAUUUAAAAAUUAAAAAAAAAAUUAAAUCAGAUCAAGAUGCAGAUUAUAAUUAAGAAUAUAAUGGAUUACAAUAAAUUUAUUUAAAUGAAUAUUAAUUUGUAAAAAUUAAUUGAAAUUGGAUUUAAAUGUAAUUUUAUUUAAUUUAAUAAAAUGAUUUAAAAUUGGAAUAUGUACAUAUUGCCCGUCGCUUUCAUAUAAAUAAAGUUGAAAUAAGUCGUAACAAAGUAGAGGUACUGGAAAGUGUUUCUAGAAAGAC
rnacentral:ncRNA from 1 species